GAUGAACGCUGGCGGCGUGCCUAAUACAUGCAAGUCGAGCGAACAGAUGAGGAGCUUGCUCCUCUGACGUUAGCGGCGGACGGGUGAGUAACACGUGGAUAACCUACCUAUAAGACUGGGAUAACUUCGGGAAAGCGGAGCUAAUACCGGAUAAUAUAUUGAACCGCAUGGUUCAAUAGUGAAAGACGGUUUUGCUGUCACUUAUAGAUGUAUCCGCGCCGCAUUAGCUAGUUGGUAAGGUAACGGCUUACCAAGGCAACGAUGCGUAGCCGACCUGAGAGGGUGAUCGGCCACACUGGAACUGAGACACGGUCCAGACUCCUACGGGAGGCAGCAGUAGGGAAUCUUCCGCAAUGGGCGAAAGCCUGACGGAGCAACGCCGCGUGAGUGAUGAAGGUCUUCGGAUCGUAAAACUCUGUUAUUAGGGAAGAACAAAUGUGUAAGUAACUAUGCACGUCUUGACGGUACCUAAUCAGAAAGCCACGGCUAACUACGUG
rnacentral:rRNA from 1 species